rnacentral:rRNA from 1 species
UACGUAGGGGCAAGCGUUGUCCGGAUUUAUUGGGCGUAAAGAGCGUGUAGGCGCCAGACAGGUCCGUUGUGAAACUAGAGGCUUAACCUCUAGACGUCGAUGGAAACCGUCUGGCUAGAGUCCGGAAGAGGAGAAUGGAAUUCCUGGUGUAGCGGUGAAAUGCGCAGAUAUCAGGAAGAACACCCGUGGCUAAGGCGGUUCUCUAGUACGGUACUGACGCUGAGACGCGAAAGCGUGGGAGCGAACAGG